rnacentral:rRNA from 1 species
AUGGCGCCACCUAGUCAUCGCAAGACGUCGUGGCGGGAGGUGGUGGGCAUGCCGGCCACGCCGGCGGUGAUGAAGAUCAUGACGGACAGGCCCGACCUGUCCGUGGAGGUGCUCCCGCCGGGCACCAAUCUGCUGCCCGGAGCCAACCCUGGGCGUGUCCGCGUCUUCAUCGAUGCUCUCGGCGUCGUCACCAAGACCCCUGUCAUCGGUUAG